rnacentral:rRNA from 1 species
GACGAACGCUGGCGGCGUGCUUAACACAUGCAAGUCGAACGGAAAGGCCCUGCUUUUGUGGGGUGCUCGAGUGGCGAACGGGUGAGUAACACGUGAGUAACCUGCCCUUGACUUUGGGAUAACUUCAGGAAACUGGGGCUAAUACCGGAUAGGAGCUCCUGCUGCAUGGUGGGGGUUGGAAAGUUUCGGCGGUUGGGGAUGUACUCGCGGCUUAUCAGCUUGUUGGUGGGGUAGGGGCUUACGAAGGCUUUGACGGGUAGCCGGCCUGAGAGGGUGACCGGCCACAUUGGGACUGAGAUACGGCCCAGAAUCGUACGGGAGGCAGCAGUGGGGAAUAUUGCACAAUGGGCGGAAGCCUGAUGCAGCAACGCCGCGUGCGGGAUGACGGCCUUCGGGUUGUAAACCGCUUUCGCCUGUGACGAAGCGUGAGUGACGGUAAUGGGUAAAGAAGCACCGGCUAACUACGUG